AUGGAGGUUGCCGUGGUGGUUGGGCCGAUAGUGAGGCUGCUGCCGAAGCUCCUAUCGGUGGUAGAUGGGAAGAGGAAGCAGCUGGACAACCUGGAGGUCGACGCUGGAUUCAUCCGCCGCGACCUGCAGUCGAUCCAAGAAAUCAUUGGCCGCUCCAGUGGCGGCAGACCCAUCACGGACCUCUGGAUCCGAGACCUCAGGCGCUUGGCCGACGACAUGGAAGACUGCAUCGACCGCUUCCAGGUCGGGAAGAUGAGCAGAAUCCGGUUCGUCGGGAAGAUCGCCAGACUGAAGAAGCGGUCCAAGGAUACGCUCGAGCAGUUACAGAACUUCAUCAGCAUCGCCGGCGCACCUCCGGCUGCACCUGACCACCCCGCGGGGGGCACCGAGGAUCCGGAGGAGCAACUUCUUGCUCUGCUUACGCGGAGCCAGUCGGAGGCGCGGCGGGGGGAGCUCAAGGUAAUCACCGUCGCCGGCUUCGGUGGAGUAGGUAUGACCCGCCUUGCCCACAAGGUUUACAGUGACAGGGAUGUGCGCAGCCAGUUCCCUCUGCACGCCUGGGUUCGUGCGGCGCCGGGCAUCAACCUUCUUCAGGAGAUACACGACCAACUGCUACCAAUUCUCACCAAGAGGCAAGCCGAACAUGGUGCGAGUUCCUCCAGCUCCAAAAGCAUACCACAAGUCAACGGAGACGUCGAACAUGGCGCGAUUGACCAUCGGCUCGCCGGACUACUCAAGACCACAAGGUAUUUGAUUGUGAUUGAUGGCGUGAAUACACAUGAGUUGUGUGGCAUACUAUCUUCCAUUUCUUGGGCUGAUGGAGUGGACGGCAGAAUUAUCAUGACGACGGCCAUUCAGCUACCAGCAGCGACAUGCUGCAGAUGUGGUGACGGUUCUUCACUUGCUAUGGGUAGCACAAGCCAGGUUUUCAUCGGAGAGCUGACCGAGAGUGGAUUUGUGGAGGCCUGCCACCAUCUUCGUGAUGACACACUAGCAAGAAUGCAGCGCAGCAACAACGAGAUCCUAUCCAACCCUGUUGUCCAGGACUUGUUGCUGUAUUUCUGCAUAUUUCCACGAGACCAUCCUGUCAAGAGGAAUCCCCUGAUAAGGCGAUGGCUGGCUGAAGGACUUGUUUUUCCUCAACAAGAAACAGAGUGUUUUUCCCAGGAUGUUGCGGCCAAGAAUUUGGAGAGCCUAAUCAGCCGCGACGUCAUUCAGCCCAUUCAAAAUUUCAUCACCAUGUUGUGUGGUAGCAAGACGACAGAGAAGGAUCCGCCGGGCAAAGAUAUCCGCCGGCUUUCCCUCCAUCUUAACAGUGCGGCAAAUGGGCCCCGGAAUUUACCAAAGGAUUUAUCACGUCUCCACAGUCUGGCAGUUUUCCCUGAUGACGCGAAUAUCACAAGGCAUCAACCUAAUUUGAACUAUGCCAAGUAUAAGCUACUGAGAGUUUUGGAUCUGAAGGAAUGCGCUGAUGUGAGAGCAAAACAUGUUGGCAAAAUUUGUGACCUGUUGCUGCUCAAAUAUCUGAGCUUUGGAGACAGUGUUGAUGAGGUUCCAAGGAAAAUAGCGAAGCUGAAAUGGUUAGAGACUCUCGACAUGAGGAGAACCAAGGUAGUGACGUUGCCAAUUGAAGUCUUCCAGCUCCCUGGGUUGAAACACCUUCUUGGAAAGUUUCAGCUAGCUGAAGGUGACAGCACACAGAAGCUAGAGGAGCUCUUGACAAAAGAUAGUGAGCUGCAGAGGCUUUCUGGAUUUGUCAUCGGCAAAAGCGAAGAGUUUGCACAGUUGAUGGGCCACAUGGCGAAGUUGAGGAAGGUGAAGAUAUGGUGCGAUUCCACUGCAGAUGUGACGAAACUGGCUCAUGUUUUAGGAGCCACGAAGAAAUUCAUUCGCGAUGGCAUGGACAUGACAAGAGUUGAUCGUUCCUUGUCUAUCGACUUCCAAGGGUGCCCAACAGAAUGCUCAGAACAAUUCAUGGAUUCUCUGCAAGCCGAAGGCCGUCUUACCUCACUGAAAUUGUGUGGCAAGUUGACGCGACUCCCUCAGUUCCAUGCAAAUACGAACUAUAUCGAGGAGCUGUGCCUCUCAAGGACUAAUCUGAGAGGGGACACAAUCCUAAGCGGCCUGUCUGCACUGAGAAUGAAACUGAAAUAUCUCAAGCUGGUAGAAGAUGAGCUUGGUCAGUUGGUCAUAAAACCAGAGCAUUUCCGAAGCCUGAGGGGGUUAUGCCUGGUGGGCGAGCGGAGUAUGGAGGACAUAACAAUCCAAGAUGAAGCUGUGCCCUACCUUGUCUCACUUCAUAUAUUUUGUGAAGCUCUAGGUGAUCUUCCUGGCAUCGACAUCACACACAUGGCAAGGCUAAAAGAAGUCGCGCUCCAUUCUGGAGUACAAGAGACAAUAAAGGAUGGGUGGCAGGCAGCUGCAAUGAACCAUCCUAACAGGCCCAAAGUUUUGUUCAUCCAUCCUGCUAAUUCCCGGCAGAGAGACCCUCCGAUGUUGUGCGGAGCAACAGGGGAAACUGCAAAUUGGACGAAGCCAAUUGGGAGAAAAUUUGCCACCUCCAUCAUGGGGGGCAUCUUUUGUUGUGUACGGCCAUCCUGA
rnacentral:rRNA from 1 species